GGCUUCGUGGCCGAGUGGUAAGGACACUGGCCUGUCAUCCUGGAGUCCCGGGUUCGAUGCCUGGUCGAGGAGCUA